AUCGAGCAGCGGUAGGAACUGGCUAAGUGCAUCGAAGCAUCGACGCUAUUUCUGCACACACACAUAUACCAAGAGCCCAAGAGGUCAAUGAUUCCGCGGUCCUGUGAAGGCGGUGUAAUCAUCGAGCAAACUAGCACCAGUUGAAGCGGGCGCAAAUGUGACCUAAUACACGCGGGGGCAGUCACCUCUACCCGUUGUUAUACCGCUGCAAUCGCGAGGGAUUCUAUUUGUAUCUCGUUACUUCCGAGUGGCUACAAGUUUGUCGGUACUUUUCUUUGGAGCAACAAAAGACGAGCAAUAAAAAUUUAUGAAGGUCGCUUAACGCGAAGCUCUCGAUGUGAGUCUUAUCGUUUUAACAAAACGUCGGCUCGAAUUACGCCUAGCUCUUUAUCGCAUCACCACGACUAUUUCUAUCAAGGACUGUGCUUACGUCGUACGUUGGCCGACACAUUGGUGUAUGGCUGAGCCACCUAAAUAAACGAGAUUUAGGGCCAGUUUCAUUAAGGUUGAUUAGCGUUGACCGUAAUUAACUGAAUUUUCUUCUCGUGCAUGCUACGGUCAAAGUGAAUCUAAAAAAAAUAUACGAAAUCACUAAUUAGGGUUAAUAAUAAAGGCCAUUGGUGCAAUUGACUUUUAGUCUCGUAUGAAUUGAUAUUCGCUCUUCGUACAGUCUGAACAAAAAUUUGAUAUCGUCUUUGCAUAACAAAAAUUAUAA